GAUGAACGCUGGCGGCGUGCCUAAUACAUGCAAGUCGAGCGAACAGACGAGGAGCUUGCUCCUCUGACGUUAGCGGCGGACGGGUGAGUAGCACGUGGAUAACCUACCUAUAAGACUGGGAUAACUUCGGGAAACCGGAGCUAAUACCGGAUAAUAUAUUGAACCGCAUGGUUCAAUAGUGAAAGACGGUUUUGCUGUCACUUAUAGAUGGAUCCGCGCCGCAUUAGCUAGUUGGUAAGGUAACGGCUUACCCAGGCAACGAUGCGUAGCCGACCUGAGAGGGUGAUCGGCCACACUGGAACUGAGACACGGUCCAGACUCCUACGGGAGGCAGCAGUAGGGAAUCUUCCGCAAUGGGCGAAAGCCUGACGGAGCAACGCCGCGUGAGUGAUGAAGGUCUUCGGAUCGUAAAACUCUGUUAUUAGGGAAGAACAAAUGUGUAAGUAACUAUGCACGUCUUGACGGUACCUAAUCAGAAAGCCACGGCUAACUACGUG
rnacentral:rRNA from 1 species